AGAGUUUGAUCCUGGCUCAGAACGAACGCUGGCGGCAUGCCUAACACAUGCAAGUCGAACGAGAGCUUUCGGGCUCUAGUGGCGCACGGGUGCGUAACGCGUGGGAAUCUGCCCUUAGGUUGGGAAUAACUCAGGGAAACUUGAGCUAAUACCUGAUGAUGUCGCGAGACCAAAGAUUUAUCGCCUAGGGAUGAGCCCGCGUCGGAUUAGCUAGUUGGUAGGGUAAUGGCCUACCAAGGCGACGAUCAGUAGCUGGUCUGAGAGGAUGAUCAGCCACAUUGGGACUGAGACACGGCCCAAACUCCUACGGGAGGCAGCAGUGGGGAAUAUUGGACAAUGGGCGCAAGCCUGAUCCAGCCAUGCCGCGUGAGUGAUGAAGGCCUUAGGGUUGUAAAGCUCUUUCGGCGGGGACGAUAAUGACGGUACCCGCAGAAGAAGCCCCGGCUAACUUCGUGCCAGCAGCCGCGGUAAUACGAAGGGGGCUAGCGUUGUUCGGAAUCACUGGGCGUAAAGGGCGCGUAGGCGGCCUGAUAAGUCGGGGGUGAAAGCCUGUGGCUCAACCACAGAAUUGCCUUCGAUACUGUCGGGCUUGAGACCGGAAGAGGUCAGUGGAACUGCGAGUGUAGAGGUGAAAUUCGUAGAUAUUCGCAAGAACACCAGUGGCGAAGGCGGCUGACUGGUCCGGUUCUGACGCUGAGGCGCGAAAGCGUGGGGAGCAAACAGGAUUAGAUACCCUAGUAGUCC
rnacentral:rRNA from 1 species